UACGUAGGGUGCAAGCGUUAUUCGGAAUUACUGGGCGUAAAGCGCACGUAGGCGGCUUUGUAAGUUAGAGGUGAAAGCCCAGGGCUCAACCCUGGAAUUGCCUUUAAGACUGCAUCGCUUGAACAUCGGAGAGGUAAGUGGAAUUCCGAGUGUAGAGGUGAAAUUCGUAGAUAUUCGGAAGAACACCAGUGGCGAAGGCGACUUACUGGACGAUUGUUGACGCUGAGGUGCGAAAGCGUGGGGAGCAAACAGG
rnacentral:rRNA from 1 species